GUGGGAACCAAUGGGGCAAGAACAGAAAGGAGAAGAAGCAUCCAGUUCCAGUGGCAUUUACACUUACAAGCAUCGCGGUGACAAGGGAGUCGAUACCCACGAGAUUUUUGUCAAGAGGAGCAGAACCCGUGUCCUGCUGUCCUACGCUGGAGUCGUUUUCCUCCUCGCAAUUGUCUGCCAGUCAUUUCUGGCGAAGGAGGGGUUAUGCCUCGGAUCAGUGUGGAGUAUUACCUUUGGAGUUCUGGUUGCCAAAUGUUUGCAAUACAAACCCGUGAUGAAAGAGUCGGUAGUGAUAAUGCCAUCUUUUGGGGUUCAGCUAGAAAUACAUUUUUGGAGUGGAGCAGUUGAUCGCCGUUUCAUACCCAUUGGCAAGAUUAUGAAGCCACUGCUGAACGAGUGUGUGACACCAGUCACCUGUUACUGGAGCUUGGUGUUGCUUCUUCGUGAUGAAGAGGAACUCAAGCUAGUUUUUCAGAAAUCUCGUCCUCCUGUCAAAAUGUUGGUUCCUAUCUGGAAAGCUCUUUGCACAUUCACAAAUUCUGAAUGACUGCAGUUGAGCUUAGAGGCUAAAUUCAGCUAGAGCCCAGCGGUAGGUUAUUGGAAUAAAGUGCCUCUAGAUUUUCUCAGGUUCGCUGCCCAGUCAACCUUUUGGAGUUCUGAUUACUAGCAUAUGCAAAAGUAUAUUGAUUAGUCAUAUGAAAAUAUAGCUCAAUUCUUUUGUAUAUAUGAAAAGCAUGGGUUCAUCAUCUUGCAAGGUUUUCUUCUAGCAUGUUUUUUCUGAUUAUCUUGUACGGUAUAUAACAGUCGUAAGUUAUAGCCAAAAUCUUGCACUUAGGGCUCUGACAAGCCGGACUCUGUCUAUAUUUAUGGACAGGGGGAACUUGCCAUUUGUAUGUAAUGUAGCAAGACACUGUUGUUGUAGAAUGAGGAUAAACGGUUCACAUGACUACAUGAUUCGUGCAUGGUUUGCCUUUGUUGCUGUAUAUAUAAAUCAGUCGCUGUAUGAGGAGAUGCAGAGUUUAAACAA